CUGCAUAUACAACUGACCACACAAAAUUUGAAUUUAUUUUCUCAAUUUGUGCUAUAAUAUACCUUAUCAAAGUUAUUGAAUAGAGUAAGAAAACAAAGAGUUUUUUGAACAUUUUAGUGCAACAAUGGGCUACAUAAACCUUGUAUUUUUUACGCUAUUUCCCUUCCUCUGUCAUCUUUCUUUCUCUUCAUCCUUACCUCAUUUGUGCCCCAAAUAUCAAGAUCUUGCUUUUCUACAAUUCAAGCACAUGUUUACACUAAGUCAUUAUGCUUUUGAACGUUGUUUCAACAUAAGAGGAUGACGGGACAAGUGAUUGAGGUUGAUCUCAGUUGAAGCCAACUUCGAGGAGAGUUUCAUUUCAACAGUAGCCUCUUUAAGCUUUCCAAUCUCAAAAGGCUUGAUUGUUUGAUAAUGAUUUUACCGGAUCACUCAUUUCAGCUAAAUUUAGUGAGCUUUCUAGUUUGACGCAUCUUGAUUUAUCAUAUUCAAUUUUUACAGGAAUAAUCCCAGCAGAAAUAUCUCUUCUUUCUAAAUACA